rnacentral:rRNA from 1 species
CCAGACUCCUACGGGAGGCAGCAGUAGGGAAUUUUGCGCAAUGGGGGAAACCCUGACGCAGCAACACCGCGUGAAUGUUAAGCCCUUCGGGGUGUAAAGUUCUGUCAAUAGGGACGAAUUUUGACUGUACCUAUAAAGGAAGCAUCGGCUGACUCCGUGCCAGCAGCCGCGGUAAUACGGAGGAUGCGAGCGUUAUCCGGAUUUAUUGGGUUUAAAGGGUGCGCAGGCGGAGGCACAAGUCAGCGGUAAAAUCGCGGGGCUCACCCCCGCUCCGCCGUUGAAACUGUGUCCCUUGAGUGCGCGAAGGGUAGGCGGAAUGCGUGGUGUAGCGGUGAAAUGCAUAGAUAUCACGCAGAACUCCGAUCGCGAAGGCAGCCUACCGGCGCGCAACUGACGCUCAUGCACGAAAGCGUGGGUAUCGAACAGGAUUAGAUACCCCAGUA